GCAGGGAUAGCUCAGUUGGUAGAGCGGAGGACUGAA
rnacentral:tRNA from 2 species